CCAAUCACUGGGAGAGAGAAGAUCCCUGAGAAGAUGGAUGCCCUCCAUCUUGAAGUGUCGAUACCGUACAAAACUGUUUAGGGGGCGCAGGUUGAUGACGGGACGCAUUUGGCCGCCCUUCUUGUGUACCAGAAAGAUAGUGCUCAGGACACCCCCAGGGAAAUUUGGUGCACGUUCGAUCGCUUCCUUUCUGAGCAGGUCCAUCAGCUCCCUGUCUAUAUGAAAUAGGGUGUCUGAUGG